AGUCGAGCGAGAAGGAGACUUCGGUCUCUGAGUAGAGCGGCGCACGGGUGAGUAACGCGUGGAUGAUCUACCCUUGAGUUCGGGAUAACGGUGCGAAAGCGCCGCUAAUACCGUAUAACAAUCCAUUUCAUCGUGGGUUCAAAGCAGGCCUCUUCAUGAAAGCUUGCGCUUGGGGAUGAGUCCGCGUCCCAUUAGCUUGUUGGCGGGGUAACGGCCCACCAAGGCUACGAUGGGUAGCUGGUCUGAGAGGAUGAUCAGCCACACUGGAACUGAAACACGGUCCAGACUCCUACGGGAGGCAGCAGUGGGGAAUACUGCGCAAUGGGGGAAACCCUGACGCAGCGACGUCGUGUGAGGGAAGAAGGCCUUCGGGUCGUAAACCUCUGUCAGAAGGGAAGAACAUCCGGGAGUCGAACAGCCUCCCGGCCUGACGGUACCUUCAGAGGAAGCGCCGGCUAACUCCGUGCCAGCAGCCGCGGUAAUACGGAGGGCGCAAGCGUUAAUCGGAAUCACUGGGCGUAAAGCGUGCGUAGGCUGCUUGAUAAGUCAGACGUGAAAUCCCUCGGCUCAACCGGGGAACUGCGUUUGAUACUGUCGAGCUAGAGUCCUGGAGAGGGUGGCGGAAUUCCUGGUGUAGGAGUGAAAUCCGUAGAUAUCAGGAGGAACACCGGUGGCGAAGGCGGCCACCUGGACAGGUACUGACGCUGAGGUACGAAAGCGUGGGGAGCAAACAGGAUUAGAUACCCUGGUAGUCCACGCGGUAAACGAUGGAUGCUAGGUGUCGGGGAGCGAUCUUCGGCGCCGCAGCUAACGCAUUAAGCAUCC
rnacentral:rRNA from 1 species